rnacentral:rRNA from 1 species
GAUGAACGCUAGCUACAGGCUUAACACAUGCAAGUCGAGGGGCAGCAUGAAAGGAACUUCGGUUCUUUUUGAUGGCGACCGGCGCACGGGUGCGUAACGCGUAUCGAACCUGCCUCAUACUCGGGGAUAGCCUUGCGAAAGUAAGAUUAAUACCCGGCGGUCUCGGAUGGCCGCAUGACUAUCCGAGUGAAGAUUUAUCGGUAUGAGAUGGCGAUGCGUCCCAUUAGCUAGUUGGUGAGGUAACGGCUCACCAAGGCAUCGAUGGGUAGGGGUUCUGAGAGGAAGGUCCCCCACAUUGGAACUGAGACACGGUCCAAACUCCUACGGGAGGCAGCAGUGAGGAAUAUUGGUCAAUGGACGCAAGUCUGAACCAGCCAAGUAGCGUGCAGGAAGACGGCCCUCUGGGUUGUAAACUGCUUUUAGUUGGGAAUAAAAAGAGGGACGUGUCCCUUAUUGUAUGUACCAUCAGAAAAAGGACCGGCUAAUUCCGUGCCAGCAGCCGCGGUAAUACGGAAGGUCCAGGCGUUAUCCGGAUUUAUUGGGUUUAAAGGGAGCGCAGGCGGCGGCGUAAGUCAGUUGUGAAAUCGUGCGGCUUAACCGUGCAAUUGCAGUUGAUACUGCGUCGCUUGAGUGCACACAGGGAUGUUGGAAUUCAUGGUGUAGCGGUGAAAUGCUUAGAUAUCAUGAAGAACUCCGAUCGCGAAGGCAUAUGUCCGGAGUGCAACUGACGCUGAGGCUCGAAAGUGUGGGUAUCAAACAGG